rnacentral:rRNA from 1 species
UACGAGGGGGGCGAGCGUUGUUCGGAAUUAUUGGGCGUAAAGGGUGCGUAGGCGGUUCCGCAAGUCCUGUGUGAAAUCUUCGGGCUCAACUCGAAGUCUGCACGGGAAACUGCGGGGCUUGAGUGUGGGAGAGGUGAGUGGAAUUCCCCGGUGUAGCGGUGAAAUGCGUAGAUAUCGGGAGGAACACCUGUGGCGAAAGCGGCUCACUGGACCUAACUGACGCUGAUGCACGAAAGCUGGGGGGAGCAAACAGG